CAAAAGAGGAAAAAUAUACACCCACUCAAACCGAUGCCGAUGCCGGCGACCCCAUCCCCAACCAGCCCGGCCCAUGGUUGGUCCACCCCUACUUUGGUAAGCUAUCUUUUAGGGCUAGGGUUCCUCACAGAGACACAAAUCAGCGCUGCACUGCGUCUUCUCAUCCUUGAUACCAUUGGCGAUGACGGUGAAGGUCUCUACUCUCUAGAUAGAGGUUCCCCCGCGCUGAGGAGAUCGCUCUGCAGCAAGCUUCCCUGAGCUUCCUUCUCUUACUCCCUCCCUUGUCUGAGUUGACUCCCCAAUAUGAAGAUUGGUUAUGGCGACCCGGAAGAAAGAAUGAAUAGGUAUAGCCCAUGGAAACGGAAACGCCCUGAACAUCACGGAACAGGUUCAUACUUGACGACACCACAUACUAUUGGGCAGAAGAUUGACCAAUUUGUAAAUGCUAAUAUGGACUUAGAUAUUGAUACCAAAAGAACCUCUUUGAAAGCUUCUGCUUCUGUUGUUAGUCUUAUAUCAGUUACCGGUGGGACGAUGAUGUUUGCAUCUUCUGGGACUAUUAUUGGAUGUGAGGAUGUUAAUGGAACAUACAUGAGUACCAUUUUAACUUCUACGACUCUCCUAAGAUCACCUACUGAUUCAAAUGCUGUACCAGAUGACCUUAAGGUUAAUGUUUGUGUAAUGGAUGGUAAAUUAUUUAAGGGUUGUGUGAUUGCUUAUGAUUUUCACUUCAACAUUGCUACCAUUAGUAUCGAAACUGAUGUAGCAUUGCCAACUGCAAUCAUUGGACCUUUGGAUGAUUCAAUCUCAAUAGAUCCAAGUGAAAUCGCUUGUACUGUGGACAAGGAGAUGACUUCCAAAUUGUUUCAGCUUCAUCGUCGUUCAAAUUUAUUUAGACUUUGUCCAGGAGACAUGGUGGUAGCCAUUGGCCGCUCCUGUACUGGAACCCGUGAACUUAUGGCUGCACCUGGCAAAUUCAGUCUUGACUGCUGCGAGUUUGAUUGCAAAGAGCUUUUCAGGGCAAAUUACAUUAUUUCAAAGGUAGGUCAUGAAAGGGUCCCCUGCUGAGCAAGCAGGAAUACUCCACGGUGAUGUUAUUGUUCAAUGCGGAAAAAAGGUAGUUGAAAGUUUUUUGAGUUCUAUGAUAUAAUAUGGAAGAAGGUUGGGAAAACUGUGAAGGUGGUUGUGGUGAGAGAAUCUAGAAGUGUUUAUCGAUGAUAAUAGCCCAGAUAAAGUAAAUAGGUAAAUAUUUUGUAUGCUUUUGGAUAUGUCUUAAAAUGGGGGUGAAUUCAUGUUACUUUUUUGUCAAACCUAAUUUGAUUGUUUUAACUUUAUAUUUGGGAUGCAGAGGAAAUUGCAUUAAUCCUCCUACAUUUUAAUGCGAGUUAGAAUGUCGUCUGCGCACUUUUAGUUGAAGCAAUUUCUUUCUACAUAUUUAAAUUGUGAUGGAGGGGAAAUUUUAACCCGCAUUAAAAUGAUUUAUUAGAUGAAUGGCCAGUCCCUGAAAAAUACCAGAUUUUGGUUGGAAGAGUUAGAUUUCGGUAAUAUGUUCUUUAUGCAGUGAUGUUAUGUUGGAACUGGCAAUGUAUAAACAUUGAUCCUAGCAGGGCCGGCUUAAGUGUCUACGAGGCCUAAAAUGAAUUUUAUUGGCAGGCUUUUUUAUAUUUAAACUUAAAUAUAAAUAUGUUUUAGCUUUUUGUAAAUUAUCGUGUAAAAUUCAUGUCUUUUUGAUUCUCAUGAUUUAAAUUUGGGGGUUGUUUAAAGUAUUUAGCUAUGAAAGAAAAGAAAUUAAGAGUGUCAAAAAUUAUCAAAUAAAUAGAACUUGUAUGUUCAAAGUAGACCACA